UUGAAAUUAAAGACACAGGUGCCACUUAAUGCACUCAGAUGUAUCAUAAAAAACCCCAUUUGAUUAAUCGCUCUCACGUUUUUCCGCCAUGUCAUUUUGUGUUUCUUCAAAUCCAAUAGCCAAAAUCCCCUCUCGGACGGGAAGAAUGUCUUUGAAAUCUCUCUCUCUCUCUCGGACGGGAAGAAUGCAUAUUCGCCGCUAGAGAACAUUCACUCGGUACAUUGAAAAACAAAAAAAGAGAGUAAUCUCUCCCGCCCAAACGAAAAUCCCACUUCCCUCGUCAUCCCUCAAUCUGCAUCAGCGAAAACCCCCUUGAACUUUUCUCUUUCACGAUUUUAGUUUCCAACCGUCUCUCCCUAAUCUCUUGCCUCUCCUUCCUUCGGCAUCUGAAAAGAAUUGAAUUGAACCAAAAUCUGGUGAGUGACAUCCAAUAGGCGACGGCACCUGCAACGACAUAUCUCUCUGAUCUGAUCUCCAAGGGAUAGCAGCCCUUCACCGAUUUGUCUCCUUUUCAUCUAUUCCAACUUCACAGUUUGCUUGCUCGUUAUUCACUGUCGGUGGUUGAAAGCUUAGAGUGCAGUAACAAGUGGGAAGCCUCGGAUGUCCAAUUAGAUUACCAGUGGCAACAACGGUGGCAAUAGAAUCGAGGAUGAUGCGCGAUGCAACGCGGAAGGAUGAGAUUUCACUACUUAGGCCCUACUUCCGGAGGAAUCUAUGACGCCACUGUGACGUGCCUUAUCUCCGGAAAGAAGCGGCAAUUUACACGUUUUCCGGCAUCGGCGGGCCCAUGAAAGCGUUGGUGGAGGGAAGGGCAGAAGAGCCAUUUUGGUAUGCCAAGUCAUUGCGGGAAGAGUAUGUAAGCGAUUUGGACUCGAAUCGGUUUUGGAAGGUCAAAUUGGGUUUGACUUGGUUAGUGGGGAAAGUGGUGAACUGCUUGUAUUUGAUUCAAGGGCAUUAUUGCCUUGUUUUCUAAUGAUCUAUAAAUUAUAUCGAAGUAAUCAAAGAAAAAAAAUGUUUCUGCAUUUAUCAAUUCUUUUUUUUUUCCUUUGUUUUUUUUUUUUUGGCUUGUAAGAAGAAUUUUGAGUUGAUAAAUGUUUCAACAUUUGUUAUUCUGUUUUUCUUUUUCAA